rnacentral:lncRNA from 1 species
GGUUGUUUCUUAGGCCUGUCCUGUCCAGUGUUAAUUUGUGUGUGAACAUAGACUGUCAUUGCCUGCCUACUUCCCCUGCCUCAUUUUCCAGCUACAUGGAAAACAACCUUAAUUUUAAAAGCAGUCCCUGCACCUGAGAGCAGCAUCAACAAGAGCAAAGUGAGCAAGAAGUCUGAUUAACCACGAGAGAUCAAAAGAGCCGCAGGACUCAAGUUUAGCCACGUGAUUAAGUCACAACCUGAACUGAACAAAGACAUUUUGGGUAGUGUCCAAGAGGAGGAGCUUCAAAUUAGAUGUUUAGCAAACUCAAAAUGAAUAUAUCAAGAGUAUUCGGGAUAAGAGUCUGAAAUAAGAACGUGGGCUACUGUAAUGCACAGCAAGUUAAAAUCUGGGAGAAAAGUGUGACAGAGGACUAUUCCUGGCCUGAAGAGAAGGUAAAAAUUCAAGUAUUAAGUUAAAAAGGUCACUGGGAAAGUGCUGUAGUAACUCUUAGUCAGAGGAAAGCAGGAUUUGGCUGUGUCACAGAGAGAAGC